rnacentral:rRNA from 1 species
CUCAGCCGUAAACCUAGAUGUCCACCUACGAUGGCAUCCGCCCGGGUACUACGAGCAUUAGCUUGAAACCCAAAGGACCUGACGGUGCCUUAGACCCCCCUAGAGGAGCCUGUUCUAGAACCGAUAACCCUCGUUAAACCUCACCACCUCUAGCCGUCCCAGCCUAUAUACCGCCGUCGUCAGCUUACCCUGUGAAGGCAAUAAAAGUAAGCAAAAUGGGCAUAACCCAAAACGUCAGGUCGAGGUGUAGCGUACGAAGUGGGAAGAAAUGGGCUACAUUUUCUAUUAUAGAAUACUACGGAUAUGCAACAUGAAACUGUGCUUGAAGGAGGAUUUAGUAGUAAAAAGGAAGCAGCGUGUCCUUUUGAACCCGGCUCUUAGGCGCGUAC